rnacentral:rRNA from 1 species
GAUGAACGCUGGCGGCGUGCCUAAUACAUGCAAGUCGAGCGAAUGGAUUAAGAGCUUGCUCUUAUGAAGUUAGCGGCGGACGGGUGAGUAACACGUGGGUAACCUGCCCAUAAGACUGGGAUAACUCCGGGAAACCGGGGCUAAUACCGGAUAACAUUUUGAACCGCAUGGUUCGAAAUUGAAAGGCGGCUGCGGCUGUCACUUAUGGAUGGACACGCGUCGCAUUAGCUAGUUGGGGAGGUAACGGCUCACCAAGGCAACGAUACGUAGCCGACCUGAGAGGGUGAUCGGCCACACUGGGACUGAGACACGGCCCAGACUCCUACGGGAGGCAGCAGUAGGGAAUCUUCCGCAAUGGACGAAAGUCUGACGGAGCAACGCCGCGUGAGUGAUGAAGGCUUUCGGGUCGUAAAACUCUGUUGUUAGGGAAGAACAAGUGCUAGUUGAAUAAGCUGGCACCUUGACGGUACCUAACCAGAAAGCCACGGCUAACUACGUGCCAGCAGCCGCGGUAA